AUAACAAUACAGGACUGUAAUUGGAAUGAGUACAUUUUAAAUUGUUUAACGAGGAUCUAUGAGAGGGUAAGUCUGGUGCAGAGUGACUGACCCGUGCGUGCUGCAGCUGAAACUCCACUAUCGCCUGCUGCUGCUCACA